GUGAGGAAACAGCCUAAAUUAGGAGCUCUGGGGGAAGGGGUUUACCACAGGGUUAUAAGGAUAUGAAUAAGUUACUUGGGAAGGCAAUUGGAGCUGACUAUAAAUUCAAGGAAUUGAAGGACUAGCAAAUGAAGAGGCAGGAACACAAAAUUAAAAGAAAUCAUAAAACCAGUCUUGCCCUGUUGAGUCAGAGAGCUCAGAAGUUCUUUGGUUGAUUUUUGCUGCAGAGGGAAUACGGGGGAAACUGCCAAUGAAUUUCAAGCUGUAAAAGCUCCAAUUUGAUCACGGGCAUUUUAUUGUCAAUAUUUUAAGACAUCAGUACGUUAACUGAUUCUGAAAUCUAACUGUAAAAGCCAGGAGACAGGAUCCUCUUAUGGUCACGUUGGCUUUUUCUCACAAACGCCCAUUUUCAACCUUAUCUCAUAGAUUUUGAAUAAUCACCUGGAACCAGAACAUACAGUAACAGAGCUGCCUGUUUAUAAGUGUAUGGAAAAGAGAACCAAUGUCUUCACAACUGGGAACCUGAAGUUCAGUUUCUGAGUCCAUAUUUCCAUACUCAAAUAACAAUGAUGGGACUUUCAAAGAUGCUGACCCACCCACAGUCUCAUGGACAUGUGGGCUUAGGAGCUGAAUCUCUGCACUCAGGCCCUGAUUCAGAAAGAUGCUUAACCACAUGAGUAAUUGGGUUGAUCUUGGUCGAACUACUCGUGGUCUUAAAGCUAGGCACGUAUUUAAGUUCCUUGCUGAAUUGGGUCUCCAUAUGUGCUGGAUUCUGUGCUCUAUGGGCAGGCAAUCCUGUAGAGAACUUGGGAGUCUGUAUUCCCCCAGGGAGGGAGUAGGAUGGGCAUCUCGGAGCUGGAACUGGUAUCAGCCCUCUGUUUCCCUGGAGAUACAGAGCCAGUCUUAGAGAUGGGCAAGUAUUGUAGCCAUGUGGGGCACACUCAGCCGGCCAAAGCUUUGGAGCUGGGAUUGGUGGAAAUACAGCUUUUUUUUAAAAAGCAAGAAGAUCGAGGCAGGGGUUGGGCAUCAUGUAGAGGGGGGAGCAGUGGACAUCCCCUGCUAGAGGGGAGAAACGGCACCUCCUAAGCUUUGUUGGGCAGACAAGGUCUCUUACUCUGAUUUACCACACAGGAUGUAAGGGAGCCCUGAUCUCUGAUGGAGGCUUCUAGGAGCUACGGCAAUACAAAUAAGUGAAAAGGUGGGGAGGAAAGGGAACAAAUAUGAUCGUGUGAUUUCUUGUUCGUCCACAUAGGCAUCAUGUUUCCCUUCUAUUUUAGUCCUUAAUUACAUGGUGGCUUUGGCAGCAAGGUUGGAUUUACACUUUCUUUUUAAUACACUACAGGGCAUUGGAGGACAAAGUGGGCAUGAAAAGGAGCAAGAGCCAAGUGAAAUAAAGCAGACAGUAGAAAGGUGUGGGGGAGGGGACUACUCCGUGAGAGCGAGGAUGCUGAGCCUGGCAAAAAUCGCUCUCUGAUGAUGCUAAAAAUUUCAAGUCAGUGAAUUGUUUGGAACAACCAGAUUUAUGCACACUACCAACACCAGCUCUGGGAGAAAAUGUUGGAGUUUUGCCAAGUCUUUGCCAGAUAAAACUUGCAAAUGUCCUCACUGUAGAGAGUCAACAGGUAACAAAACAUGCUGUAAGAGCAACAUUUGAUUCUUCAGCUGCUUCUGUUCGAGCCAUUGUUUCUGCGAUCUCCAUCAGAAGAUAUGCUAGGCUGAGGUUUCUGGAGGGAGCUCUGAAGAUGUAAAUCCAAGUUUGCGGAUCUCUCCUUUGCGGGAGAAAGAGGGUGUAGCACUAUAAUGGAAGAUGUCCUUGAAAAGAGGAGAUGAGACGCACUGGGUGUUCCUCAGCAGUCAGGAGAAGACCUGGAAUACCUGGUUUUCAAGUCCUAGAGAUGGCAAAAUCCAUCAUCUUCCUCCAUUUCACACUUGAUAAGGAAGAUAAUGAUAACUUCUGCAAUAUCCUCCUUUAAUAGCUUUCUCAUCAAAGGAGAAGGUGUAUCAAAUUGUGAAAAAGAGGUAAAUCAUCUUCAACAUCUGCGUUGGGCCUUACGCCCCAAGUGUGACAUAAUGCAUGAGAACUGCAGUCCAAUUUUAAUCCAUUUGCCCUCCUUACCUUUCAAAGACUGUGUGUGUCACUUCUUCCAGUACUGGGUAUCUAUAACCAGAGACAAGUGGAUUUUAGAAAGCAUUCACAUGGGUCUCUGAUACAAUCUGAACCAUUCCUCCUUCCGGUUUCCUCUCCCAUCCCUAUUUGGAGUCCCCUCUCACAACAGCCUGUUGAGAUCAGAGGUUCUUGAUCCUCUGAAGGUAGGGGCUAUAGUCGAGGUACAGAGGCAGAGAAUUUUAUUCCAAAUACUUCCCAGUUCAGAAGAAGGAUGGAGAUCUGUGCUGUAUACUGGACCUCAUAAAGCUCUGUACUUUCAUCAGAAGACUCUGUUUUGGAAUGCUAAUUCUAGCCUCUAUCAUACUCAUCCUUUCUCCAAAAGAAAAGGAGUACUUGUGGCACCUUAGAGACUAACCAAUUUAUUUGAGCAUGAGCUUUCGUGAGCUACAGCUCACUUCAUCGGAUGCAUACUGUGGAAACUGCAGAAGACAUUAU